rnacentral:rRNA from 1 species
GAUGAACGCUGGCGGCGUGCCUAGUACAUGCAAGUCGAGCGAACGGACGAGAAGCUUGCUUCUCUGAUGUUAGCGGCGGACGGGUGAGUAACACGUGGAUAACCUACCUAUAAGACUGGGAUAACUUCGGGAAACCGUAGCUAAUACCGGAUAAUAUUUUGAACCGCAUGGUUCAAAAGUGAAAGACGGUCUUGCUGUCACUUAUAGAUGGAUCCGCGCUGCAUUAGCUAGUUGGUAAGGUAACGGCUUACCAAGGCAACGAUGCAUAGCCGACCUGAGAGGGUGAUCGGCCACACUGGAACUGAGACACGGUCCAGACUCCUACGGGAGGCAGCGGUAGGGAAUCUUCCGCAAUGGGCGAAAGCCUGACGGAGCAACGCCGCGUGAGUGAUGAAGGUCUUCGGAUCGUAAAACUCUGUUAUUAGGGAAGAACAUAUGUGUAAGUAACUGUGCACAUCUUGACGGUACCUAAUCAGAAAGCCACGGCUAACUACGUGCCAGCAGCCGCGGUAAUACGUAGGUGGCAAGCGUUAUCCGGAAUUAUUGGGCGUAAAGCGCGCGUAGGCGGUUUUUUAAGUCUGAUGUGAAAGCCCACGGCUCAACCGUGGAGGGUCAUUGGAAACUGGAAAACUUGAGUGCAGAAGAGGAAAGUGGAACUCCAUGUGUAGCGGUGAAAUGCGCAGAGAUAUGGAGGAACACCAGUGGCGAAGGCGACUUUCUGGUCUGUAACUGACGCUGAUGUGCGAAAGCGUGGGGAUCAAACAGGAUUAGAUACCCUGGUAGUCCACGCCGUAAACGAUGAGUGCUAAGUGUUAGGGGGUUUCCGCCCCUUAGUGCUGCAGCUAACGCAUUAAGCACUCCGCCUGGGGAGUACGACCGCAAGGUUGAAACUCAAAGGAAUUGACGGGGACCCGCACAAGCGGUGGAGCAUGUGGUUUAAUUCGAAGCAACGCGAAGAACCUUACCAAAUCUUGACAUCCUUUGACAACUCUAGAGAUAGAGCCUUCCCCUUCGGGGGACAAAGUGACAGGUGGUGCAUGGUUGUCGUCAGCUCGUGUCGUGAGAUGUUGGGUUAAGUCCCGCAACGAGCGCAACCCUUAAGCUUAGUUGCCAUCAUUAAGUUGGGCACUCUAAGUUGACUGCCGGUGACAAACCGGAGGAAGGUGGGGAUGACGUCAAAUCAUCAUGCCCCUUAUGAUUUGGGCUACACACGUGCUACAAUGGACAAUACAAAGGGCAGCGAAACCGUGAGGUCAAGCAAAUCCCAUAAAGUUGUUCUCAGUUCGGAUUGCAGCCUGCAACUCGACUACAUGAAGCUGGAAUCGCUAGUAAUCGUAGAUCAGCAUGCUACGGUGAAUACGUUCCCGGGUCU